rnacentral:rRNA from 1 species
CGCUGCUAAUACAUGCAAGUCGAGCGGACAGAAGGGAGCUUGCUCCCGGAUGUUAGCGGCGGACGGGUGAGUAACACGUGGGUAACCUGCCUGUAAGACUGGGAUAACUCCGGGAAACCGGAGCUAAUACCGGAUAGUUCCUUGAACCGCAUGGUUCAAGGAUGAAAGACGGUUUCGGCUGUCACUUACAGAUGGACCCGCGGCGCAUUAGCUAGUUGGUGGGGUAAUGGCUCACCAAGGCAACGAUGCGUAGCCGACCUGAGAGGGUGAUCGGCCACACUGGGACUGAGACACGGCCCAGACUCCUACGGGAGGCAGCAGUAGGGAAUCUUCCGCAAUGGACGAAAGUCUGACGGAGCAACGCCGCGUGAGUGAUGAAGGUUUUCGGAUCGUAAAGCUCUGUUGUUAGGGAAGAACAAGUGCGAGAGUAACUGCUCGCACCUUGACGGUACCUAACCAGAAAGCCACGGCUAACUACGUGCCAGCAGCCGCGGUAAUACGUAGGUGGCAAGCGUUGUCCGGAAUUAUUGGGCGUAAAGGGCUCGCAGGCGGUUUCUUAAGUCUGAUGUGAAAGCCCCCUGCUCAACCGGGGAGGGUCAUUGUAAACUGAGGAAUUUGAGUGCAGACGAGGAGAGUGUAAGUCCU